rnacentral:sRNA from 1 species
AUGGCUGAAAAGCCACACCAGAAUUCCUGCAGUUCAGUGAAGCAGCUGUUCAAAACCAAGCAGCUGGUGACGCACAGGGACAGAGGGUAGGCCUUCGGGGGAGAGGGCGGGAAAGGCCCUCACAGCAGGGCCCAGAGGAAGACUGACCACCCCAGGCUGAGCAGGAGCUGUACGCACAGGGCCCAGGGGCUGCCGGCUGCCAGGACCACCGCAUUGCAGAGGUCUCCCUUGCAGCAGGAGAUCUGGGAGUCCACGACGGCACUUAACCUGCCCUCUGCCCUGGCACCCCAGGGACUCACUGCCAAAGACGCUCACUUUCUGGGAGACACAGACCCCAUCCAGGAAGGGGCACAAGACCAUGCUGCAGGAGGCCCCUUCCAAGACCGCCAACCAUCCAUAGCAGCGCAGACCCUGAGCUGGGAGAGAGGGCAAGGAUUCUCUCGGCACCACGGGAACCACCUUCUCUACUCUCACUGA